rnacentral:rRNA from 1 species
GACGAACCGUGCGAACGUUGUUCGGAAUCACUGGGCUUAAAGGGCGCGUAGGCGGGCUGUCCAGUCUGGGGUGAAAUCCCGCGGCUACAACCGUGGAACUGCCUCAGAUACUGACGGCCUCGAGGGAGAUAGGGGCAUGCGGAACUGUAGGUGGAGCGGUGAAAUGCGUUGAUAUCUACAGGAACUCCGGUGGCGAAGGCGGCGUGCUGGAUCUCUUCUGACGCUGAGGCGCGGAAAGCUAGGGGGAGCAAACGGG